rnacentral:rRNA from 1 species
AUUGAACGCUGGCGGCAGGCCUAACACAUGCAAGUCGAACGAGCGGCGGACGGGUGAGUAAUGUCUGGGGAACUGCCCGAUGGAGGGGGAUAACUACUGGAAACGGUUGCUAAUACCGCAUACCAUCGGAUGUGCCCAGAUGGGAUUAGCUAGUUGGUGGGGUAAAGGCUCACCAAGGCGACGAUCCCUAGCUGGUCUGAGAGGAUGACCAGCCACACUGGGAAUGAGACACGGCCCAGACUCCUACGUGAGGCAGCAGUGGGGAAUAUUGCACAAUGGGCGCAAGCCUGAUGCAGCCAUGCCGCGUGUAUGAAGAAGGCCUUAGGGUUGUAAAGUACUUUCAGCGGGGAGGCGUUACCCGCAGAAGAAGCACCGGCUAACUCCGUGCCAGCAGCCGCGGUAAGUC